rnacentral:sRNA from 19 species
UAGUGUUGAUAUAAAGUGUUGUUUCAAGGUGCAGUGCUUUAUGGAGCUCUAUAAGGGUUGAACGUUUACCACAACUUGAAUAGGUAGUAAUGCUGAAAGAAAAUGUUCUAA